rnacentral:rRNA from 1 species
AUUGAACGCUGGCGGCAGGCCUAGCACAUGCAAGUCGAACGGUAGCACAGAGAGCUUGCUCUCGGGUGACGAGUGGCGGACGGGUGAGUAAUGUCUGGGAAACUGCCUGAUGGAGGGGGAUAACUACUGGAAACGGUAGCUAAUACCGCAUAACGUCGCAAGACCAAAGAGGGGGACCUUCGGGCCUCUUGCCAUCGGAUGUGCCCAGAUGGGAUUAGCUUGUUGGUGAGGUAAAGGCUCACCAAGGCGACGAUCCCUAGCUGGUCUGAGAGGAUGACCAGCCACACUGGAACUGAGACACGGUCCAGACUCCUACGGGAGGCAGCAGUGGGGAAUAUUGCACAAUGGGCGCAAGCCUGUUGCAGCCAUGCCGCGUGUGUGAAGAAGGCCUUCGGGUUGUAAAGCACUUUCAGCGGGGAGGAAGGCGGUGAGUUUAAUAAGCUCACCGAUUGACGUUACCCGCAGAAGAAGCACCGGCUAACUCCGUGCCAGCCGCCGCUGUAA